GCCGGCUUAGCUCAGUUGGUAGAGCAGCUGCCUUGUAAACAGCAGGUCGUCCGUUCGAUUCGGACAGUCGGCACCA
rnacentral:tRNA from 1 species